AGGAGCAAGAUAGACCACUCCUCGAAAAACGCGUAGUAUGACGUGUGUGAUCAUCGACGCCAUUUUUCGAGGCAUUUAUUGAGCUUCCCCCACACUGUCAUGGCGUUCUUAUCUAAAUUUCAUCUCACUGCUCUGCUAUCAAGUAUUCUAAUCGUAAAUCUAAACGACCCGACCUGUCAUUCUUUAGGUUCCCCAAUAAAAAAGAAAGAUGUCAACAGUGGGUCCAGAAUACUCAUCGACAAGAUCUCCUGCACCGAACUGCAGAGUAUUUGUCAAAUAACUGCCGUCUUAUGUACAUUGUGUGAAAUUGUGAUUUGUUAACUGCACAAAACUAAUGCAAAUGGCGAUAUAUUUAUUAUUGUAUCUACGUUGGACAUUUUGCUCUUUGGUGUCAGAACGCGGGGUGGGAGAUUGCAACCUUCACGUGGUCCGCCCUGUUUCGACAAAUGCAAUCAACCCGGUGUGCACAGUCAAAUAAGAUCAAAUAGAACAAGUUGUCCUACAACUUUAGGCUGUGCACGCCAUACGCAAUAAGAAGAAGAAGUGUCAGAACGCAGUCUGAAGAAGGCUUCCGACCUACAACGUCACCUAUUCCUUUUCUCCAGAGAUGCUGCCUGACCCACUGAGUUACUCCAGCAUUUUGUGUCUAUCUCUGUUUAGAUUGGACUCGUGGGUGGAGAUUGCGGCUGGUCUGGUGAUCUAGAACGAGGGCCAAAGUCUCAGAAUAUGGGUCAUGAUAUUUAGUAAUGAGACAAGGAGCAGUUUCUUCACUCAAGGGCUGGGAAUCUUGGAAUUCUUUAUUGCGUGAGAUGGUGGAAGUCGAGCCCUUGAAAGGAGAGAUUUUUUUUUUCAAAUACAAAAAGGAUGAAGGAUAAUGGAGAGAAUGUGGGAAUAAGGUGUUGAGUUGCAGGAUCAACAAUAAUCUUACUGAUGGUGGUGUGAACUUAGAUGGCUUAUCCUUGCUUCUAUUUCUUACAGAGACACAGCACGGAAACAGGCCCUUUGGCCCACCGCGUCCGCAUUGACCAGCGAUCCCCGCACACUAACACCAUCCUACACACACUAGGGACAAUUUACACUUAUACCAAGCCUACAAACCUGUAUGUCUUUGGAGUGUGGGAGGAAACCGAAGAUCUCGGAGAACACCCAUUCAGUCACGGGGAGAAUGUACGAACUCAGUACAGACAGCACCCACUGUAAGGCAGCAACUUUACUGCUGCACCACCAUGCCGCCCUUAAUCCACUAGGGCACUAGGUUACAAUAAACUUCCUACAUAUUCCAGGAAUGCAUCUCAUAAAAAUGGGAGAGGUUUAAAUGCAUUGUAAAAUCUGCUCUCAGUUUCCUAGAUCGGUAUUGCUCUAAUGGCCUCUUUGUAUCAUUUUCUUUGAUUUAAACCAUCCAUUGUUUUGCAUUUAGAUUUUAUUUUUCCCCUGUGGAUCACAAGGCACUGUUUGUUUCAGGGGUGACUCUAAUCUCCAGCGUAAUUUGACAAGACAGCCAAGAGGGCAAACACAGGCAGUUCAGAGCUGCUGCCUGUAUCGCAUGAGAGAACAAGAAUGAGACCAACUUGUUUUUUGCAGAUCAUCAACCCCUGACUGAUGUUAUCAAUGCCGAUGGUGACUCAAGGAGACUCAACCAGGUGGUGGUUUACAAAGGUCCAUGCCCAUUGUUCCUCAUGGCAUACCACCAGCCUCAACAGAUCACCUAGUCAUAGAGUCUCACAGCGUAGAAGCAGGCCCUUCAGCUCAACUUGCCCACGCUGGCCAACAUGUCCCAUCUACACUAGUCCCACAUGCCUGCAUUUGGCCCAUACCCCUCUAAACCUGUCCUAACCAUCAAAUAACCUAACAGAACUGUCAUAUGAGGAAAGAUUUAAAAGACUAGGCUUGUAUUCACUGGAGUUUAGAAGGAUGAGGGGGGAUCUUAUCAUAUUGUUUACAGUGUACUAUGUUUACAGAUUCUGUUGUGCUGCUGAAAGUAAGAAUUUAAUUGUUCUAUCUGGGACAAGCUAGAUGCAGGAAAUUGUUCUACAUGACAAUAAAACACUCUUGUUAGAUGCAAGGGGAUCUUAUAGAAACAUCUAAAUGAAUAAAAGGACUGAACAAGCUAGAUACAGGAAAAAUGUUCCCAAUGUUGGGCGAGUCCAGAACCAGGGGCCACAGUCUUAGAACAAAGGGAAGGCCAUUUAAGACUGAGGUGAGAAAAAACUUUUUCACCCAGAGAGUUGUGAAUUUGUGGAAUUCCCUGCCACAGAGGGCAGUGGAGGCCAAAUCACUGGGUGGAUUUAAGAGAGAGUUAGAUAGAUCUCUAGGGGCUAGUGGAAUCAAGGGAUAUGGGGAGAAGGCAGGCAUGGGUUAUCGAUUGGGGCUGAUCAGCCAUGAUCACAAUGAAUGGCGGUGUUGGCUCGAAGUGCCAAAUGGCCUCCUCCUGCACCUAUUUUCUAUAUUUCUAGAACACUCAUCCAGCAAUCCUCGAGCCCACCAGCUCAUCCCGUAGUCAAUUCAUCAGCUUUUCCAUAAGAACUUCCAUCAGUUCUUCCAAAAGAAUGACAAUCAGCCAAUCUCGAUUACCCUCAGCCCAUCAAGCAGCCCCUUAAUUCGCACAGAAGUCUGAACUAUUGAAUGCUCACUGCAUCUCUUUCCAUGUCAGCAAGUUAAUAUCCAGCUGCAUAUGAACCAUGUGAAAAAUGAAUAAAUAGAUGCAUGUGGUGCAGUGAUUUGUGCAGCACUAUAGGCCUGGAGACCAAGAGGAGUUCACCAUUGAACGGAGUUUGAACGGGGGGCUUGAGGCCCCCGACCGAGGAAGAACAAAAGGAAGGGACUUGAACUUUAUUUCGCCUUCCAUCACAGUGAGGAAUGUGUAGGAGUCACUUUGGUGAAUGUCCGUAUUAAAAUGUGUUUUUGAGUGCUGUUGCUUUUAAUUGUAUGACUGACCUGGCCAAUGAAAUUCCUCGUAUAUUGCAAAACAUACUUGGAAAAUAAAAUCUGAUUAUGAUUCUGAAAA